rnacentral:rRNA from 2 species
UUGCAUAUCCAUAGCGGAGGAAAAGAAACCAACUGGGAUUACCUUAGUAACGGCGAGUGAAGCGGUUUAGUUCAAAAUUCCAUAUCGGAGGAAAAGAAACCAACAGGGAUUGCCUCAGUAACGGGGAGUGAAGCGGCAAAAGCUCAAAUUUGAAAUCCCCCGGGAAUUGUAAUUUGAAGAGAUUUGGGUCCGGCCGGCAGGGGUUAAUUCCACUGGAAAGUGGCGCCACAGAGGGUGUCAGCCCCGUGAGCCCCAUGAAGGCCGUCAUCCCAGAUCUCCAAGAGUCGAGUUGUUAGGAAUGCAGCUCUAAGUGGGUGGUAAAUUCCAUCUAAAGCUAAAUACCGGCGAGAGACCGAUAGCGAACAAGUACAGUGAUGGAAAGAUGAAAAGCACUUUCAAAAGAGAGUGAAAAAGUACGUGAAAUUGUUGAAAGGGAAGGUCUUGCAAGCAGACACUUAACUGGGCCAGCAUCGAUUUCGGCAGCAGGAUAAAUCAUUAAGAAUGUAAAUACUUCUGUAGUGUUUAUAACCCCGGCCCUUACUUCCCCAGCACCCCGAGGCCGGCAAUGUAAGGAUGUGCGAUACGCCA